GUUGUAGCUCAGUGGAAGAGCGCUUGCCUAGCAUGCAUGAGGCACUGGGUUUGAUUCUCAGCACCAUA
rnacentral:tRNA from 1 species